UACGGGGGGAGCAAGCGUUGUUCGGAUUUACUGGGCGUAAAGGGCGCGUAGGCGGCCACUGCAAGUCAGUUGUGAAAUCUCCGGGCUUAACCCGGAAAGGUCAACUGAUACUGCAGGGCUAGAGUGCAGAAGGGGCAACUGGAAUUCUCGGUGUAGCGGUGAAAUGCGUAGAUAUCGAGAGGAACACCUGCGGCGAAGGCGGGUUGCUGGGCCGGUCCUGACGCUCAGGCGCGAAAGCGUGGGGAGCGAUCCGG
rnacentral:rRNA from 1 species